CCUACGGGAGGCAGCAGUGAGGAAUAUUGGUCAAUGGACGCGAGUCUGAACCAGCCAAGUAGCGUGAAGGAUGACUGCCCUACGGGUUGUAAACUUCUUUUAUAAGGGAAUAAAAUGAUGCACGUGUGGGAUUUUGUAUGUACCAUAUGAAUAAGGAUCGGCUAACUCCGUGCAAGCAGCCGCGGUAAUACGGAGGAUGCGAGCGUUAUCCGGAUUUAGUGGGUUUAAAGGGUGCGUAGGUGGGUUGUUAAGUCAGUUGUGAAAGUUUGCGGCUCAACCGUAAAAUUGCAAUUGAUACUGGCAGUCUUGAGUACAGUAGAGGUAGGCGGAAUUCGUGGUGUAGCGGUGAAAUGCUUAGAUAUCACGAAGAACACCGAUUGCGAAGGCAGCUUACUGGACUGCAACUGACACUGAGGCUCGAAAGUGUGGGUAUCAAACAGGAUUAGAUACCCUAGUAGUC
rnacentral:rRNA from 1 species